UAUCAUUUCUUGUUGUUGUUGUUGUUACAUGGUCGUGGGUGCGUUCCCCGUACCUGCAAACCACCCUACUACGAGCCGAGGGCUCAAGGGCUGCCAAAUCGCCUAUAAGCACCAUCCUACCUCGCACUUCCAACGAAACAAGUGAUGAAGUAUACUAACGACCAAAGGGAACGAUAGAGUUGCGGUGGGACCAUAUGCGUUCCAGCAUCCUUGCCAGGCGUUCAGGUUCCCACUUCAUAGCGUCCUUCAUAUGUUCGAAGCGUGGAAAGCCCAUAACAGAUCUGAUUUCGUCGUACACCGGACAGUCCAGCAAAAUGUGUUUCUCAUCCUCGAUAUGGCUAUCAGUGCCGCAGCAAGGGCAUACUCGCUCCUCCCUAGGUAUAUAACGCCGUCCCUUACGCGCUCUGUUAGCCGCCAGUGCCCAACAGCAAAACCUAAACUGCAUAAGCUUGCGAUUCGCCGAACGCGGGAUAAACAUUGUGAUAUGCGGGAGCACCUCCUUCCUGCCCGCUUGCUAGGCCGCCAGACCCAUCCAAUGCUUAUACUUCGCCAUGUGGAUUCCUGGUUGCUUGCCGUCUGACGGAUACACGUCAGGCUGGACAUCUAAACGCGUAUGUUUCCAACCACCCGCUAAUCGGUCCUUCAACUCCAAAAUCACACCUUCUGGCAUUGGCCUGUUCAUCAGCCACUCCACUCGUUCGUCUACCUCAUGUAGCCCUUGCGGGGCCUCUUUCCAUACGUCGUGCCCCAAAAAACAUAGAAAACGGAGUAGUAGUGUCCCCCACCCGGCCCCUUCGGGGUUGGAGGGGGAUUCUGCGACCUCCUGUCGCAAAACUUGGUGUGCCACAGACCCACGCUGUAAACGGACAUGAUUCCAAAACCUCACAACCUGCUUGAGAACGUGGUAGUGUAGGGGUAGCUGCGAUAGCUCUGCGAACAGGAGGCGGUGUGUUGGUCUGGCAGCUCCUACAAUUUGCCGCAUGAAAGAUAUCUGAAGCUGCACUGCUCUGUCCUUUAGGCAUGCCUCGAAGGGCCCCUCUGCAAGGUUAUUCGCAUCACUCCGCUUCCUGAGCCUGUCCGAUACCUCAGCUAGCAUAAACGGCCCCCACGCUUGACAACCAUACAACAGUAUUGCUCGUACCUGCGUAUCGAAACACUUCAUCCUCACAUCUGGGGCGAACAACUUUAGCUUAUCUAAUUUUGCACUCAACGCGAACAUAGCUGCUCUAGCUGUGUCAUACAACUGCUGACGGCAGGCCCAGAACUGCCGUUCCGGCCCAGACACUAACCCCAGAUAUCGUGCACUAUCCUUACCCGGUAUAUCCUUUCUAAUAUUUUUAAACCUAUUUAUCGUCAAUCAAGUGUUUAGGAUUUCCCACUUUAUCCUGUGCGUAUCGAUUUCACUCGACUGCCAGAAGAUAUGUAUACGGGAUUCGAUGGUAGGCCGUGCUGUUCUGCCGAAGAGAUGUUCAUAAUUCUAACCCACAUCCUAAUACAAGGCACAAGUUGAAUUACAAUAUGAUUUGGUGCCCUGACCGCACUCCUUAACUGGCUUUGUCGAGCCAGCAGUGGAGCAGGGAGCAGGGAAAAUGCUCCCUGCCCACUGCAUUGGAAAACUAAAGUGUAAUGUAGCCACUUGGCUUUUGUCGAUAGUAAUCUUCCGACAAUAUGUAAGCAGGUCGUCAAUUAGUCACAAUUGCACCAAAUCGAAUCUCACAGAUAUGGUGGACAAAAUCGUUUCAUAAGUAGUGCGAGAGUUGUUACUAAUUGAAAGUGAGGGCCGCAAGGCUGCGGCUGUACAUCAGUCAUGUCGCCUGGACGUCCUAAGCCGCGUUGGUUGAUGCAUUCGGCUUGCACGGCUAGUGUGCUGGGGUCAACGCCGCAGUCCGUUUUGAAAUUAACAAAUGCUUGCUGCAAAAGCUAUGAAACCACAGUUCUUCAGCCAUAUCCAGUUAAUAGACAUCACAACGAGCUAGACGGCUCGGACCGCGCGAUGAUCAAACCUUGGAUUGCCCGGGCAGGGGGCUCUCCUGAAUCAGAAGGCGAUGCCCACCGCCACGUGCGAGGUGUUUACCAUAGAGGAGAUUGUCUUCAGCUGCCAAGGUACCCUCCCCCGUUUCGGUCCUCCAGUCGCCGCAGCGAAGAAGCAAUACAUGUUGUCGACCAUGGUACGCGGUAAGGUAAGUAAAGCGGGGUGGUGAUAGCGACUUAAGGCUGCUCCAUCAUAAGGGUCCUGAUGACCGGUGUGGGAAGCCUAGUGCGCCAUACGGCUGUUAGCAGCGGCCGAGCCGUCUCUGCGCGGCGACGCAGAGGCGCCGUGCCGUGCGCACAAAGCAAGGGGGCCGGCAGUCACGGCUGAGUCUUCGGCGCAUACGCAGCUAAUGCCUGCAUAGGACGCCAACAGCCUUGUGCAGUCGACUGGCGACCUCACCGGUUCGAUCCGGCAGUGCCUUAGCAUCAGCCGCCUUAUCCCUGGUAACUAGGAAAGACUCUAUCCCGGUGCAGUCGGGGGUGCCAACGGCGAAGGCGGCUGCGUCCGAGUGGCAGACAGACAGACAGACAGACAGACACAAAUGGUAACCAGGCUAAAAGCCAAAACAGUGAACAUGGCACGCACGAGCUCUACACACCGGACGAUGGAGCCCUUGUGUACGUGGCAACAAUUUGGGGCUGCCAAAAGUGUGAGUGGGAGACCUGCAUGCAUGAGCCAGCGGCCAUGCGUAUCACUCUUUCCCCCUUAAUUUGCGUGUUGGUCGCCUGUGACUUCUGCCGGGUUUCCGGAAAUCCCGGGGGAUUCUAUAUCCUGAAUGAGAUCAAAGAAAGGCCGCGGUGUGUACCUCGCUACUACGUGAGAGAGGACGGCGCUGUUCGCGAAACCGACCAGCCUGAGGGCUUAGCUUGGGGCUAAUGAACAGAACAUCGAUUGCAAUAUAUACUACUUCAUCUCAUGAUACGUUUGCUUGCUGUCCCACCGAGCUCUGCACUUAAUUGCGUAAGCUGCCUACCUGUCGGAUCGGAAUUCAUUUCCUGCAUUGUUUCGCAAUGUGGAUUAUUUGAGUGUUUAGAGAUGAACUCGUCUGGAAGCAAAUCCGCUAACCAUUUGCCGGACUAUCUCAAUGCUGCUGGUCUGACUGCGCGAUAACCUGGAUUCCGGCACACAGCCACGGAGGAAGUUCUGCAUCGGGAGAGGUCCCAGCCCAAGCGACAUACGGCUCGUGGUGGCUUGCGCGGCGCGCGCACGGAGCCUUGCAACCGGCCAGCAGCUAGUCAUGCGAAGGCAGCUGCAGGACCUAGCUGCAUUCGACGGCAGGUUUCCUAGAUUAAGCUGUGGAGCGUUCAGUGAAUUGAUUCCGUUUUCAUUGUUUGCAUUUGUGGUUAAGUUGAUUGUUGGCCAUAUGUAACAUGCUCCCUGCCCGACGUUACGGACACAAGUUCUCGCACUCGUCUGGGCAACGUUUUGCUACAUGUCUUCCAUAAAAUUCAGUUUGUCUGCAGUAAUGGUAUUAUCACAUCAGAGUUCAAACAGCUCGUGUCUUUACGCUUUCUCAUUGCAACCGUAUCGGAAUAUGGUCCCCCGUCUGCCGAAAAGCCAAACAAGGUCUCCAAUAAGCAAUCACAGAAAUAAGGAAUGAUUUCAAAUAUAUGGGAGUCAUGUGGUUAUGUGUCCUCCAUCUUGAACAGGUACAGUACGUGAGGAGCAUCCUCUGGAAGCCGGUCAUCCCCAUAUGCACGAGCCCAACAUUACCUAUGUAUACGCUGAUGUGUUGAACACAUGGAGGGAAAUCCUACUGAUGGGUUCCAUUGCUCAAUGGUUGCUCCUGUUGUACACGGUGGCGCGCCCUGCAGUCAAUCACAUGUGUCAGGUUACAGCUCGCAUAUCUAGAGUAACCUUCAGCUUAUAUUGCCUUAGCGCUGCUGUGGGCGCUCUUCUGCUGCUUCUUACCUGGGUAGAUUUGUCACAUGGUUGGACCUUAUCCGUUGCUAUCCACCUUAUCCUGACGCCAAUGGGGAGGAAUAUGGCCAUUAGACCUGUUAAUUCAGGCCAUCCCAUAUUGCUGCGGCGUUCAUUUGCAACAUCGAUGCGAUAGUCCUUACGCCGGUGACAACGCGCUUAGAGGUCCCAGCAUACUGAGUAAAUAGCAGGAAUGGAUUUCAAUAUUGAACCCGCUGCUCGCAGUUAUGGUGGAGUAAUCGUAGAAGGCGAUGACCCAAGUCGUUCCACCUCCUCAGCUCCGUCGUCCUCCCCCUCUUUCUACACCGAUCCUAGCUCUCCCAAAUACAUGAGAAGUCGCACCCCCAGUCCACCGACCGCUAGGCCAGGCGGCGCGCACUCCAGCCGACAAGCUCAGAGCCCGGGUUCUCUCGCCCGCUCGACCGCGCACGACCCGGCGUCCCCCGGACAUCUUGAACUGGGACCACCCCCUUUCUCGCCUGCGUGCCCCCCCUCCCCCACCGUCACUCCCUCUCCCACCCCCGUCCGAUCCCCCGUGGGCAUCCCACCCCCAUCCUGCAUGCCGCUGGCAGCGCCCGCUGCAGCCCCCGGAUCCAUGGUUACAUAUGUGCGGGCCAGCCCCCCUGGAGGGAUGCCGUACGGUCCAUUUUAUCCGUACACUCAACCGCAGACAUGCCCACCGCAUUUACAGCAGAAUUCCUUGCCUAACGAGCCCGUGGCUUCGGAAGCCGGCGCUGCCGCUGCCGCCGCUGCCGCCGCCGCCUCAUUGCAACGAGCCAACAGCGCACCGCCCAGCCGAAUGCUCACCUACAAAGGCCGCCUAUCCAUUGCGACAAACAGCGCGGACUGGGGCCCACAACCAACAGAACCAACCGCAGCUGCUGGCGGCGGCGCCGUCGUCAACGGAAUCAGCGGUACCCAGAUCAUCCCGUUGGAGCCCACACCAGCUGCAGCGCCGGCCGGUUCUGUAGUAAAGCCGUACGGCUUCCUUCCACCGCCCUCCACGCCGCCGCCGCUGAAGCCCCGAUGGCCGACCGCCCGCCUUGUCUCCUCCCGUCGUAGCGCCGCCGCAGCUUUCACCUCCUUCGCCGCAGCACCCACAGUCGCCCUGAGGAUCACAGGCCUGGGUGGUACAGCCCCCACCGCCGGGACCCCGACCAAGCCCGCCACCCCGGCCGCCUCAGCUGCUGCACCAGCGCCUCAGCGCACACAGGCCCCCGCCGAUACUAAAACACAGCCUCCACGACGGUUCCACAGCCACCGCACCCGCUGUCUAGCGGACAACCUGGCCUUCCUCCACCGGGGCAACACCCACAACCCGCCCCUCAACGAGCGAAUCAGCCGGCUGCUGGACGUGGUCCUGCCGCCGCCCUCCCCCACCUCGCUUACACUCCAUGCCAUACCGUCGCCCAUGACACCGCCAGCGCCCGUGCCGCCGCCGCCUCCGGAAGCGAUGGCGCAUCUGGACCGCGCCUUGCAGUUGCGCCGGGAGGUGGUUGUGGCGCAGCGUUACAAAGCGGAUGGCCUUGCUGCCGUGGCGGAUACGAUGACGGGGGCGGUCGUGCGCUGGAGCAGCCGGCGCGUUGGCGUUGGCGGCACGGGCACAGGCACUGGCGGGAUGCCCGCCCAAGGUACGGCGUUGCCGGGCAUCAGCGUCAAUGCGUCUGGAUACUGGAAGGCCCGCGGUGCGGACUGGGUUGACGGCGGCGGUGGGGUCGGCGGCGGCGGCGGCCUUGGUGUUGUCCUGGGGGGCAUCACCGGCUCCAUCAGUGUCCCGCUGCCCGGGGUGCACCAUCGGAACGAAGGAGCAGAUGCCGUGGAGGGCGUCUGGGGUCUGCCGUACAUGCCGGAGAAUGACGCCGCCUCUGCUGCUAUGGCCUCUGCCGCUGCUGUUGCGGCCUCUGCCAUGCGGAAUUCAAGCACCGAGGCGCUGCAUCUCCAGGGAGUGUCGUACAGGGCUGCCAAGGCAGCCACCCGCGCAUUGGCUGAAGUGCAGCGUCCGGGCACUUCCCUGCGGAUGCAAGGUCCCCUAGUGCUUGACGAAACACCGCAAUACCCGCCGUACCUGCAACAGCAUCCGCCGAACCAGCAGGACCAGCAGCAGCAUCCCCCGCCCCGGCAGCACCAGCAGACACACCCCAGGGCUCGCUCGCAUUCGCACCCACAGCCCCCCCCCACUGCGGCGCCGGUCUCCAUUUGGAUCUAGCUGAGCUGAGCUAGCAAGCACUCGUCGGCAGUAUAGUGUGAACGAUAGCCUUCUUCGCCGAUUGGCAUUGUGCCGCUGUUGCAUACAAGUGCUGUGUUGUGCUGCCUUGUGCUGUCCUGUGCUGUCCAGUACUGUCCAGUACUGUCCUGUGCUGUGCUGUGUUGUACUGUGUUUAUCAGCAGAUCGGGACCAGACAUGUAUUUGAGGUCUCAGACAUUCCGAUAGAUACAUACAUACGUACAUAGGCAGGUAAGAAAGUAAGGCGCACCGAAAUGGACUGCACUGAAUCGACCGUACCGUCCUCGCUGCCUAGAGCUUGUCGUCCAAAGCGGCUUAGAUGUGGUGAUGUGUUUGCGCACGGCAUUGCGAAAACCACGAGAAUAUUUAAAGCUUCACGGUUUGGGAGAAGAUUUUUCGACCUGCAUCAUAUUCGGCACCAUAUGCUGUUGUUGUUGUUGUUGUGUUACAUGGUCGUGGGGGUGCGUUCCCCGUACCUGCAAACCGCCCUAAUACGAGCCGAGGGCUCAAAGGUUGCCCGAUCGCCUAUAAGCACCAUCCUAUCUCGCACCGUAUGCAUUCUAACAAGGCUGUGAACGGUCAAUGCGGCGACAUGCAAGCUAAGCCGCCGAAGGGGUGACUGACCUAGUGAUAAAUGAAGGGGCUUAGGAAGUUGUGGGAGCAGCCCCGCACUAGGUGCUACUAAGCCUGAUUGUCCUCGGAAGACCGCAACGCGUUGCAGGCGCUGGAUUAAGGCGUUGAUUGCAUGAUGCGCCCUGUCCUGAUGCCUGCUGCUGGCUUCCUAGUGCUCGACCUGGUCCUGGUCCUGGUCCUGGUCCUUAGUUGUAGUGGCCCAGAGCUGAGCUGGGAAGCGUAACGGCGCCGUGCUGUCGUACCUGGCCCGUACAAUGCACCGAUCAUCACACAUGUCCUUGAAAGUGUGCAUCCAUGCACACACACGCACAUACAUACACACAUAUAUACAUACACACAGGUUGUAUGUAGUGUGAAUAUCUCACCUCGUCCAUUGUGAAUGCGUGUAGUUCAAAGUAUAGAAUGUUGGCAGUUUCGAAAUUCCCCAUGACGAAGAGGACAAAAAUGACGUUAUGAGGUGUCGACAGGCUGGACGUGCAUACAACGGGUGAAUUUUCAGGUUCACUGAUUCGUGCGCCUUUUCACUCCACGGCAUGGUACGGCAUCGUACAGAAUCGUAUAGGACACGACCUACCGCGGCUAGGGUUGUAGCGCUGCCGGCUAUUUGUCUGAUGCGCUAGGUCGGUGCGAGCUGAUUGACGGUGUAUAUAUACUCGUUGUGCUGUGGGGUUGGUGUUUAUGCCCGUUGGGGGUCGCACGGCUUGAAGAGAGAUGCACUCGACGAGGGCGCGGAGGAGGAGAAGGAGGAGGAGGAGAUGUUGUAGGGAACGAACUUCAAGCCAGGCUGAAUACGCAUGGUGCAAGCUGUCAAGGGUUGUCAGCAAUUAAGGAGUCGCAAUAUACUCUUGCUUUUUUGAAACCGGUGCGGCUAGGUGACCUCGUAACAGAGCCAGUAACAGAAAACUAUAAUAACUGAAAAUAGCCAGUAUACGAGCAUUAAGUUAGCAGUGCCUGUAUUGCAGGGUAAUUGAUCCCGGGCUUGCUAGCGCAGCUGACAUGUGGGCUGUGUCUCGAGAGGUGUGCACGAUUGAUAUUUGCUCGGUUGCAUGGUUGGUUGAGCGCCUGGCGAAUACCGUUGCUUUACAACCCACACGCCGCAGCUUUUUUCAGUUAUGACCGUUAUAACCAGAAGCCUUGCGCUGCUAUGCAACUGCUCGUGUACUGUACUGCUUGCUGGAUUGAUUUCUACGAACAAUAUUUUAUAUGUUUAUCCACCAACCCACACACACUAUGCAUAUAGGGGAUUGCAUCAUUGGUACUGCACACAGAUGAGCAUUGUCCGCACUCUCUCACGUGCACAAACGUACACACGUGCUGUACAGCGGUACUUAUGGCCACCAACUGCCUCCUGGUUUAUGUUGUUUGCCCAAGGGCUGUUCGG
rnacentral:lncRNA from 1 species